rnacentral:ncRNA from 1 species
AAUACAUAUCGGCAAAGCUACUGAAAAGUAGUGACGCAAAACUAUAGGGACUACUUCCUCGAAGGAAAAGUCAGCCAGUUGCAUAU